GGGGGGGGGGGGCUAGGAUGAAAAAUUUUGUCCUGCAUUUUUUUUUAGCUAUAAUCUCUGUCCUGCCUUUUUAUUUUUCACUCUGUUCGGUCCUGCCUUUUUUUUUUUAGUUUAUCCUGACUUUUUUUUACCUAAAUUGUCGUCCUGACUUUUUUUUUGCAAGUGUCUCAUCCUGCCUUUUUUUUUAACUCAAAACUCCUGUCCUGCCUAUUUUUUUCAAAUUUCAUCCUAGCCCCCCCAUAAAAAUCAAAUGGUAGCUCCCUAAUUGCGUU
rnacentral:lncRNA from 1 species